UACGAGGGGGGCGAGCGUUGUUCGGAAUUACUGGGCGUAAAGGGUGCGUAGGCGGUUUGUUAAGUCUCGUGUGAAAUCUACAGGCUCAACUUGUAGUCUGCACGAGAAACUGCCGGGCUUGAGUGUGGUAGAGGUGAGUGGAAUUCCUGGUGUAGCGGUGAAAUGCGUAGAUAUCAGGAGGAACACCGGUGGCGAAGGCGUGUCUCUGGGCCGAUACUGACGCUGAGGAGCGAAAGCGUGGGGAGCGAACAGG
rnacentral:rRNA from 1 species